UCUUCGAUCAUGGCUCAGAUUGAACGCUGGCGGGAUGUCGCAUGACAUGCAAGUCGAACGGCAGCACGGACUUCGGUCUGGUGGCGAGUGGCGAACGGGUGAGUAAUGGUAUCGGAACGUGCCUAGUAGCGGGAUAACUACGCCGGGUGUUGCAGCUAAUACCGGCAUACGCCCUUCGGGGGAAAGGCAAAAUCUUCGGGCCUCGCACUAGAGCGGCCGAUAUCGGAUUAGCUAUUGCGGGGUAACGGCUCACCAAGGCGACGAUCCGUAGCUGGUUUGAGAGGACGACCAGCCACACUGGGACUGAGACACGGCCCAGAUCAUGGGAGGCAGCAGUGGGGAAUUUUUGACAAUGGGGGAGGACCCUUGAUCCAGCCAUCCUGCGUGAUGGAAGGCCUCUUGGGUUGAGAAGUACCCUUGGCAGGAAAGAAACGCAGAAUGGGAUAAUACCCCGUGCAACUGACGGUACCUGCAGAACAAGCACCGGCUAACUACGUGCCAGCAGCCGCGGUAAUACGUAGGGUGCAAGCGUUAAUCGAAUUACUGGGCGUAAAGCGUGCGCAGGCGGUUCGGAAAGAAAGAUGUGAAAUCCCAGAGUUUCUUAACUCUUUGAACUGCAUUUUUAACUACCGAGCUAGAGUGUGUCAGAGUGGAGGUGGAAUUCCGCGUAGCGGCGUGAAAUGCGUAGAUAUGCGGAGGAACACCGAUGGCGAAGGCAGCCUCCUGGGGAGGCAACACACUGACGCUCGGGCGUGCACGAAAGCGUGGGGAGCAAACAGGAUUAGAUACCCUGGUAGUCCACGCCUCUAAACGAUGUCAACUAGGGCUGCCGGGGCCUUCGGGCCUUGGUAGCGCAGCUAACGCGUGAAGUUGACCGCCUGGGGAGUACGGUCGCAAGAUUAAACCAAAGGAAUUGACGGGGACCUGCACAAGCGGUAAGAUGAUGUGAUUAAUCGAUGCAACGCGAAAACCUUACCUACCCUUGACAUGUCUGGAAUCCCGAAGAGAUUUGGGAGUGCUCGCAAGAGAACCGGAACAACAGGGCACGGCCAGUCACGUCAGCUCGUGUCGUGAGAUGUUGGGUUAAGUCCCGCAACGUGAGCGCAACCCCUUGUCAUUAGUUGCUACGAAAGGGCACUCUAAUGAGACUGCUUGCGACAAACCGGGAGGAAGGUGGGGAUGACGUCAAGUCCUCAUGGCCCUUAUGGGUAGGGCUUCAAGCACGUCAUACAAUGGUCGGGACAGAGGCUGCCAACCCGCGAGGGGGAGCCAAUCCCAGAAACCCGAUCGUAGUCCGGAUCGCAGUCUGCAACUCGACUGCGUGAAGUCGGAAUCGGGCUAGUAAUCGCGGAUCAGCAUGUCGCGGUGAAUACGUUCCCGGGUCUUGUACACACCGCCCGUCACACCAUGGGAGGUUUUACUGGAGAAGUAGUUAGCCUAACCGUAAGGAGGGCGAUUACCACGGUAGGAUUCUGCGACUGGGGUGAAGUCGUAGUCAAGGUAAA
rnacentral:rRNA from 1 species